rnacentral:rRNA from 1 species
AGUAACGGCGAGUGAACGGAGAUUAGCCCAUCACCGAAGUCUAUCCGCGUGUGUGGACAGGACAAUGUGGUGUUGCGGCACGUACCUGGGGACGCUUGCCUACUCGAAGUCCAUCUCCGAUUCUGGCUUGGACAUUGCCCUUAGCGGGUGAAAGGCCCGUUCGGGUAGGCGGUGAGAAUUUAAGCGUUCCUCAGAAGUGCGUGCCCUCGAGUCGGAUUGCUUGAGAAUGCAGUCCAAAGUGGGUGGUAAACUCCAUCCAAGGCUAAAUACUGGCACGAGUCCGAUAGUAGACAAGUACCGUGAGGGAAAGUUGAAAAGUACUCUGAAGAGAGAGUAAAUAGCACGUGAAGCCGCUUGCAGGGAAGCUGGUGGAGUCAAGCUGCUUGGCUGGAGAAUUGUCACUCGAUGUUUGGUGUUGAUGGAGGCCGUGGUGUUGGCUUGCCUGGAAACGGCUUGGCGUACUAACCUGCGCUUUAAGUCACCCUGGGUAGAGUGAUUAUGCCAGCGCACAGAGCCUGCAUUGAGUGCUGUAUUCUCCCGUCAUACAUCACGGUCAAUUGUUCCGUACUGUGCGAGUGCUUAACCAUGCCUCUAUGGACUUCACCGUCUGUUGGGCUUGGAAUGGCAGAAGGCAUGUGUCGGCCUCGUGUUGGCACUAUGCGUAUGUUGGUUUUGACCUGCUAGUGCUCGCUUUCAGUAUCGGUCCGAUAGAUGCUCUGCGAUGCUCGCUCCUCGGAGUGAGUGUCACUGAGAG